CUCUCUCUCUCUCUCUCUCACACCCCAACUGGUCGAGACAGACGACCACCCACCUAGAGCCGAAGGAUCUGUCCUAGGUUUCUGCCUUUUAACAGGCAGUUUUUCCUUGCCCUUGUCGCCAAGGUCUUGCUCAUGGUGGUACUGUUGGGUCUCUGUAAAUGAUGUUAUAAAGAGUUCGGUCUAGACCUACUCUAUUUGAAAAGUGUCCUGAGAUAACUUCUGUUAUGAAUUGGCUCUAUACAAAUAAAAUUGAAUUGAACUGAA